rnacentral:rRNA from 1 species
UGGGGAAUAUUGCACAAUGGGGGAAACCCUGAUGCAGCGACGCCGCGUGAGCGAAGAAGGUUUUCGAAUCGUAAAGCUCUGUCCUAUGGGAAGAUAAUGACGGUACCAUAGGAGGAAGCCCCGGCUAACUACGUGCCAGCAGCCGCGGUAAUACGUAGGGGGCAAGCGUUGUCCGGAAUCACUGGGCGUAAAGGGUUCGCAGGCGGAAAUGCAAGUCAGUUGUGAAAGGCAGAGGCUCAACCUCUGUAAGCAAUUGAAACUGUAUUUCUUGAGAUGUGGAGAGGCAAGUGGAAUUCCUAGUGUAGCGGUGAAAUGCGUAGAAAAUAGGAAGAAUACCGGUGGCGAAGGCGACUUGCUGGACACAAACUGACGCAGAGGAACGAAAGCGUGGGUAGCAAACAGG